CUUGAAGGGUGGUGCCAAGAAGGUCGUCAUUUCUGCUCCCAGCAAAGACGCCCCCAUGUUCGUUGUUGGUGUCAACGAGAAGGAGUACAAGUCUGACGUUAACAUUGUCUCCAACGCUAGUUGCACCACCAACUGCCUGGCUCCUCUCGCCAAGGUCAUCAAUGACAGAUUUGGCAUCGUUGAGGGUUUGAUGACCACUGUCCAUGCCAUCACUGCUACCCAGAAGACUGUUGAUGGGCCCUCGAUGAAGGACUGGAGAGGUGGAAGGGCUGCUAG
rnacentral:misc_RNA from 1 species